rnacentral:misc_RNA from 1 species
GGGACUUCUACGCUCAACCUCAACCUAGAAUUGGGCUCUACAGUCUCCGUGACAUUAAUGUCUGCUGGAAGCCGGUCUUUCUCAGGUCCAACAGCCACGUAAGAAGAAGAAGAAGCAGCUGACGCUGUGGAUUUACGAGAACAUUUAGGGAUUGCUGGACAAUGGGCUUGGCGGGAAAAUGAUGGUAGUUUGAGAAAAUUAAAGUAAUUCUUCUUCUUGUUGUUGAAUUGGAGAAACUGCGUUUUGAGGGUAGCGGAAAGAGAGCUUUUGCCCAGAAAUUGUGGUGCCUGUUGGCUCCAAUUUAGAAGCGCUCUGGACCUGAUACAAAGCUCCAUGGCUGUUAGUCUCUGAACUUAGC